UUGUUCUUAAGUGUUUCACAAGGAGGUGGGGGAAGGGGGCGGAAUAUGGAGGUGGGGGAAGGGGGUGGAAUAUGGAGGUGCGGGAAGGGGGUGGAAUAUGGAGGUGCGGGAAGGGGACCAUAUCCAUAAACAGGAUAGAUAGAAACCCCCACACAAAUUCACAUGAAAUCUUCAUUAGAAAAGAAAGAAAAUAUGAUAAUAAUAAAUUCAGAUUUAGCAAAGCUUGACAGUUAUUUUCGCAAAUCAACCAUAAAAGCAUUGGCUAAGCACUACAAAAUAUCCAUGUGUAUGAAAACUGUUAUUUCGCUUCUUUAAUAUUGUGCUUCUCACACAUCACAUGACAUUACCAACAAUAAACUGGUUUCAAAAGCUCCAAUGAAGACAGUCUACUGAUUACAAAACCAAGGUCGUUAAAAUCGAGAUUUUAUGCAAAAUCAAGAG
rnacentral:lncRNA from 1 species